AGGAAGCGAGAAGUCGACGCGCCGACCCCCGCAAGGGGGGCGAGGCGUCCGGCCCUCCGCGAGCAUCCGCGUGGGUGUGGGUUACGGACCCCGUCCGAUCCCGUUCCCACCGCGGGGCUGUCCGCGAUCAUGGAGGUGUCCUCGGACGGCGUCGAAUCACUCAAAGUUCUCCAGUCCGCGACGCUACGGCUUGGAUGGUCCACCCGACCCGUCUUGAAACACGGACCAAGGAGUCUAACAUGCGCGCAAGUCGUUGGGUCGGACACGCUCCGCUAAACCCAUAGGCGCAAUGAAAGUGAAGGCCGCCGUUCGGGCGGCCGAGGGAGGACGGGGCCGGCCGGGCGCUCCGGUGCUCGGCGGUCCCCGCACCCCCGGGGCGUCUGAUCCCUCAUCGCGAGGGGAGGCGCACCCAGAGCGCACACGUUGGGACCCGAAAGAUGGUGAACUAUGCCUGGCCAGGACGAAGUCAGGGGAAACCCUGAUGGAGGUCCGUAGCGAUUCUGACGUGCAAAUCGAUCGUCGGAGCUGGGUAUAGGGGCGAAAGACUAAUCGAACCAUCUAGUAGCUGGUUCCCUCCGAAGUUUCCCUCAGGAUAGCUUGCGCUCGGAGGAGAGUCUCAUCCGGUAAAGCGAAUGAUUAGAGGCCUUGGGGCCGAAACGGCUUCAACCUAUUCUCAAACUUUAAAUGGGUGAGAACUCCGGCUUGCUCGACCGAUCGAAGCCGGAGACGGGGCCGUCCCUCGGGACGGACCCCCGGGAUCGGAGUGCAUAGUGGGCCACUUUUGGUAAGCAGAACUGGCGCUGUGGGAUGAACCAAACGACGGGUUAAGGCGCCCGAAUCGACGCUCAUGGGAAACCAUGAAAGGUGUUGGUUGCUUAAGACAGCAGGACGGUGGCCAUGGAAGUCGGAAUCCGCUAAGGAGUGUGUAAUAACUCACCUGCCGAAGCAACUAGCCCUGAAAAUGGAUGGCGCUGAAGCGUCGUGCCUAUACCCGGCCGUCGCGGCAGGGCGGACCCGGCCUCGCGUCGGGUGCCGCUUGAUGCGGCGACGAGUAGGAGGGUCGCGGCGGCGCGCGCAGAAGGGUCUGGGCUCGAGCCUGCCUGGAGCCGCCGCCGGUGCAGAUCUUGGUGGUAGUAGCAAAUACUCCAGCGAGGCCCUGGAGGACUGAUGUGGAGAAGGGUUUCGUGUGAACAGCCGUUGCACACGAGUCAGUCGAUCCUAAGCCCUAGGAGAAAUCCGACGCCAACGGCGACGGGAGAAAUUUUGAAAGAGAAAGAAACCCGUUGAUCGGGCGAAAGGGAAUCCGGUUCCUAUUCCGGAACCCGGCAGCGGAACCGCUGUUUGUCGGGCCCUCACAAGGGGUUCGUCAGGGUAACCUAAAAGGGCCCGGAGACGCCGUCGGGAGCCCCGGAAAGAGUUUUCUUUUCUGCAUGAGCGUUCGAGUUCCCUG
rnacentral:rRNA from 1 species